UCCGAGUUGUAAUUUGUAGAGGAUGUUUUGGGUACCGCCCCGGUCUAAAUUUCUUGGAACAAAAUGUCAGAGAGGGUGAGAAUCCCGUCUUGGACCGGCGGUAGGGCCUGUGUAAAACUCCUUCGACGAGUCGAGUUGUUUGGGAAUGCAGCUCAAAAUGGGUGGUAAAUUUCAUCUAAAGCUAAAUAUUGGCCAGAGACCGAUAGCGCACAAGUAGAGUGAUCGAAAGAUGAAAAGAACUUUGAAAAGAGAGUUAAACAGUAUGUGAAAUUGUUGAAAGGGAAGCGCUUGCAACCAGACUUGAGCGCGACGGUUCCCCUAGCCUUUUGGCUAGGUUACUCUGUCGUGUCCAGGCCAACAUCGGUUCUGAGGGUCGGUCAAAGGCUCCGGGAAUGUACCUACCCACGGGUAGACUUAUAGACCGGGGUGUCAUGCGGCCUCUCGGGACCGAGGAACGCGCUUCGGCUCGGAUGUUGGCGUAAUGGUUGUCAGCGACCCGUCUUGAAACACGGACCAAGGAGUCUAACAUCUAUGCGAGUGUUUGGGUGUCAAACCCGGAACGCGGAAUGAAAGUGAACGGAGGUAGGAAGCUUCGGCUGCACUAUCGACCGAUCCUGAAGUUUACGGAUGGAUUUGAGUAAGAGCAUAGCUGUUGGGACCCGAAAGAUGGUGAACUAUGCCUGAAUAGGGUGAAGCCAGAGGAAACUCUGGUGGAGGCUCGCAGCGGUUCUGACGUGCAAAUCGAUCGUCAAAUUUGGGUAUAGGG
rnacentral:rRNA from 1 species